GCCGGGCAUUUGGGGUUCUAUGUCGAAGAGAGAUAUGAGCCCCCUGGCCCCUCAGAUUUUAACUCAUUUCUGUGUCUCUUUAUUUUUCAUCUUCACCAACCCUUGGUCAGGUCUAAGCUCACCUCAUAGGCUAGUUCCUACAAAAAAGUUCCUUUAAACUGAAGAAUCAAAUUUUCUCCACAACCUGGCGUGUUUAGCAGUCUCAAAUCAAAAGAAAACAGGUUUCAGAAUUGGAAAAUGAACAGAAAGAAAAAUGACAAUUUGAUUGAAUCAUACAGAAGUUUCCUAUAAACUUGUCUUUGCGAUGCCCCUCUGCCAUGCCAUCCUGCCUUGGAGCCAGCCAACUGUGAACUAAAACCUCUGCAAACUGAGAGGCAAAAAAAGCAUUGAGAAAAUGUCACAGCACUUUAUGGAGAAGCAAGCAAAGCCAACCAGAAAAGCAAU
ensembl:lncRNA